rnacentral:rRNA from 1 species
UUUUAUUUGAGAGUUUGAUCCUGGCUCAGGAUGAACGCUGGCGGCGUGCCUAACACAUGCAAGUUGAGCGAUUUACUUCGUAAAGAGCGGCGGACGGGUGAGUAACGCGUGGGUAACCUACCCUGUACACACGGAUAACAUACCGAAAGGUAUGCUAAUACGGGAUAAUAUAUUUGAGAGGCAUCUCUUAAAUAUCAAAGGUGAGCCAGUACAGGAUGGACCCGCGUCUGAUUAGCUAGUUGGUAAGGUAACGGCUUACCAAGGCGACGAUCAGUAGCCGACCUGAGAGGGUGAUCGGCCACAUUGGAACUGAGACACGGUCCAAACUCCUACGGGAGGCAGCAGUGGGGAAUAU